rnacentral:tmRNA from 1 species
GGGGGUGUUUUGGUUUUGACAGCGUUGAUGUCGGACGGUAAGCACGCCGGGCGUUGGAACCUUGCCCGUAAAUCUCAGAUUCCAAAAAAUCAGUUGCCAACAACAACUACGCACUCGCUGCCUAAUUUGGCCAAGCCAAUUAGCUUAAUCCGCGACGCCUAGGCUGCGCCGCCGACGAGUAUCCCUCGGACGUUCCGCCCGGUAUCGGCCGACCCAGGGGUAUCAUUCCGACCGGGACGCUCCGGUGGACGCCUUUAAAACCGGCUAAGAUGCAAAGGCUAAGGCCGUCUUCGCCCGCCAUCCGGCAGGGGCGGCACGAAAACCAAAGGACGGAUAAGCGUGUAGAAAGCCGCCUGGUGCGGCGUUUGGACAGCGGUUCGAGUCCGCUCACCUCCACAA